GACGAACGCUGGCGGCGUGCCUAACACAUGCAAGUCGAACGGGGUAAUUUCUUCGGAGAUUACUUAGUGGCGAACGGGUGAGUAACGCGUGAGAAACCUGCCUUUCAGUGGGGGACAACAGUUGGAAACGACUGCUAAUACCGCAUAAUGUUAUUUGGGGGCAUCCCUGAAUAACCAAAGCUUUAUGUGCUGAAAGAUGGUCUCGCGUCUGAUUAGCUAGAUGGCGGGGUAACGGUCCACCAUGGCGACGAUCAGUAGCCGGUCUGAGAGGAUGAACGGCCACAUUGGGACUGAGAUACGGCCCAGACUCCUACGGGAGGCAGCAGUGGGGAAUAUUGGGCAAUGGGGGAAACCCUGACCCAGCAACGCCGCGUGAAGGAAGAAGGCCUUCGGGUCGUAAACUUCUUUUACCAGGGACGAAGAACGUGACGGUACCUGGAGAAAAAGCAACGGCUAACUACGUGCCAGCAGCCGCAGUAAUAC
rnacentral:rRNA from 1 species